rnacentral:rRNA from 1 species
UACGUAGGGUGCAAGCGUUGUCCGGAAUUACUGGGCGUAAAGGGCGCGUAGGCGGACAGUUUAGUCAGAGGUGAAAGCCCAGGGCUCAACCUUGGAAUAGCCUUUGAUACUGGCUGUCUUGAGUUCGGGAGAGGUGAGUGGAAUGCCGAGUGUAGAGGUGAAAUUCGUAGAUAUUCGGCGGAACACCAGUGGCGAAGGCGACUCACUGGCCCGAUACUGACGCUGAGGCGCGAAAGCGUGGGGAGCAAACAGG